GAUGAAAAUUGUACUGUUCAGGCACUGUCCCAAGUGACAGAGGUUUCUAAUCUUUUUGCUGUCCAGACUAUUUUGAGAUGGAGGAGCACCUGAGGCAGCAUUCAGACUAUAACCUCUUCCUCCUCUGUUCCAGAAAGCAGUGAACAAUUCAAAAUAUUUGUCAGUGCUGCCAGAUCCAGACUCUGUUACUGUCAGGGAGACUGAAGGUCUUGUUUUAAACCCUGUUGAGAGUUCUCCUGAUUUGCUGCGAAUUGCUCACUGCUCUCCUGAACUUUGGUAGGAAUUUGUGCAUCUGUCUUGGGCACUGUAAUGUGUGGUCUUAAUUACAGCCCUCAGUACCUCUGCACAGAAAACUGAACUGCUACCUAGAGCUGAGCAGUGCAAGAAGACCCUGUUGGAGAGCUGUGCUGUGCCUGCAGGCCUCAACCUGAAUUCCCAGCACAUCUCAUGGAAAUCGGAUUGAAAGCUGACGGAAAUUGAGUGCACAAAAGGAUGGCACCCAAAGGACUUCAAGUUGAUGAGGACCCUGCACUCCAGACAUGCAAUCUUCAGGUGCUAUGCUCUUAUUAGACUAGCAAGUCUGGCUUGGAACAGGAGGUGGGGACUGUGAAUGUGCUUGCUCAGGUGUCUGACGGUCACCGAUGAGGAAAGUAAUGUUUAAACCACCAUAUACCUGUCAGCGUAACACACCCUCUGUACUGUUUAACACUGGAAUCUCGCCGUGAUGCUCGUGUCACUUUCCGUACCGCUUGUUGCGCAUUAAAGAAGUCACUCAGCUGUGCUGCCAUCAGUGUUCAUUAAUUCAUACAGAACCCCGAGGGAAUCGCUUAUUUCUGCUAUAAAAUUAAUGGAAAGUACUGAAGGUAAGGCUGCACAGUGUAGCAUCCUCAGUGUAAAGGGCUGAGCCCCAUCCCUGGGGGCGGAGAGCACCCUCUGGCUCCGGUUCCCUGUCUCGGGAUGCUGGGAGCUGUCUGGUUUGCUCUUUUGGAAGGGCCGCCCUUCAUCAUCCCUUUGCUUGUGUUUAUUCCUCACCUGAUUGAAAUAGACCCAACUGGGUUCCAUGUUUACGUUCUAGGACCAGCUCUUCAAUAACAUCCCAGCCACAUAGAAGUUUAAAAUAGC
ensembl:lncRNA